UCUAUCAACAUUUCUGUUCGAAACAUCAGUUUUCAAAGGAUCAUAAAAUCUCCCUACAGGAGGCAGCUUGGCAUGAAUGAAGCUCUGAGUAUGGGAGCAAGUUUUUUUUAAUUAGCAGUUGAUGUUGUAGACUUGCUUUUUUAAAAAAGCUGCUGAGCUGUCUUUAUGGAAGUGCAAAAAUAAAACGAAAAAGCUUCCUUAGAUGUCUCAUUCUGUUCUUUGAGGCUGUGAAUUUCAUCUCAAAUUCCUUGCUUUCAGUUGUGAGGAACUCUCUGUUCUUUUCCUAUGUUUGGCAGAGCUGCGAUUAGGAAGUGGAGUCUGUUUCCUUGAAGGACUCCAGGAGCUGGGGCAACAUCAGCUAUCACAAGACUACAAAUAAAAGCUAUCACUUGAUCCAGUGAUGAGCUCCAUGGAAGAAGAUCCUGGUGCCUGCAGCAGAGCUCUGUGUUGGUACAGGGUCUUCUCAUGCUAUCUCAUUGAAGAAUCAGGGCCUUAGACCCUUUUCCUGCUCAGGGAAUAUUUACCAUAUCCCCAGCAUGAGCAGAUGUUUCUCAGCAUGCAGAAAUUUCUCUUCUUUCAGCAUGCAGAAAUUUAACUGCUACUAAGCUUCACUACUGAAAACUAACAUAGGCAUCUGGGACAGAGAAAGGCCUUCUGAGAUCUCGGUAGAAGCCUGGCUUGCAACGCUGGCAAUGCUGCCCUUCAGUGUUGUGUUGACAGUUAUCACAGACUCCACCACUGCGAUUCCCCGAGGCCAGC